UGUUGCUUGUUGGAGGGGGAGCAUUUUGAGAGAAAUACUCGUCAUUCGUCUGUCGAACAAAUCGACAUAUGUGAAAUAGACACAAUGAUCAUUGAUGUUUAUAAGCGCUUUCUCCCCGAGGUAGCAGUGGGAUAUGAGGAUCCCAGAGUGCAAGUACACAUAUCAAAUGGGAGUUGAGUUCAUGAAGACUGUUCCUCAAGGCACAUAUGAUGCCAUCAUGCUUGAUGCUUUCCAAAACAUGGGUCCUACAUCAAAAGAACUUUCUGAGCAAGGGCUCUUCGCCCCGGCGAUGUUAUGUCUACCCCCCGGCCAGACAGCUUCUGGCAUAAAGACUUUGUUCACUGUGCAGAUACCAUAGCAAACUGCGCAAAAAUAUUUAAGGGCUCUGUCAACUAUGCCUGGACAACAAU